CAACUCCUCUUGGCUCCUCGUCAUAAGCUAUAAAAUUCCAUUCGAUUCCACUUGGUUUAUUUCUUCAAGUACGAAACCACACAGGUUCCAAAGAGAAAUGCUUCUCAUCUUUGGUAUGGGCUCCUAGAGUACCAGGUGGAGGUGCAUGCACGGUUAUAGGGAGAACCCACUCACUCUUGUCUCUACCCUCUACCAGAAGAGGAUGCUCAUAUCUUGUCCAGUCCACAUUCUUUGGAGUGGUAAAAAAUUCGAAUCGUAGAACCCAUUGCACAGAGACAUGUGGAGUAGAAAAGGACAUGGGCCCAUCCGUGGGUACAGAAAAAAGAAAGCUGGUCUGCACCAAAUCUGCAACAACCUCAUGAUGAUCACUCUGAACCCUUGUGAUUGUUGGGGAAUUCCUGC
rnacentral:misc_RNA from 1 species